GACGUAGGGCGCGAGCGUUGUCCGGAUUUAUUGGGCGUAAAGAGCUCGUAGGCGGCUUGUCGCGUCGUUCGUGAAAACCUGCAGCUCAACUGCAGGCUUGCGGUCGAUACGGGCAGGCUAGAGUUCGGUAGGGGAGACUGGAAUUCCUGGUGUAGCGGUGAAAUGCGCAGAUAUCAGGAGGAACACCAGUGGCGAAGGCGACACGCUGGGUCACACCUGACGCUAAAGCGCGACAGCAUGGGGAGCGAACGGG
rnacentral:rRNA from 1 species